rnacentral:lncRNA from 1 species
UAUGCCUAGACAAUGACGUGUUGGGGUAAAACCUUGAUCUCAACACUUACAGGCCUCAACUUGUUUCCAGACUAUAUCAAGUUAUCCAAGUAAAUGAAUUGGAUUCAAAAGCAACAAGGAUAAAACUUUGUUCUUGUUUCUCUUUUCUCCCCCCUCCCCUCUUUUUCGCCUUUAUUUUUCUUUUCACUUUUUGCCCCUCUACCAUUUAUUAUUGGUGCAAACUCAGGUGAGGGACAGCUUAUAAAAAUAUAAAAAUUGGGGCACCUGGGAGCUCAGUUGGUUAAGCGUCUGACUCUUGAUCUCAGCUCAGCUGUUGAUCUUUGGGUUGUGAGUGCAAGCCCCAUGCUGGGCUCCACACUGGGUGUGGAGCAUACUUUAAAAUUUUUUUUUUAAUUUAUAAGGAUUAAAGAUUAAAAUGUGCCCCUUUUACUGUUGGACUUGCUUAAAUAGUUGGGGUGAUAGAUAUUGAGUGCUAGGUUUAAACACACAUACACACAUCUGGGCUUCCAUGAACUGAACUCAGUUCACGUGCUGGUCUGGAAUGGGCCUGAAGGACCUGGCUCUCUUGCCUUCAGGAUCCUCCCAACGCCAAGAAACACAAUUUGAACAGGGGCUUUCCCUGCCCAGUGUCUGGGACCUCCUUCUCCCUCUCUCUUUUUGUAUUCCAGAUUGCAGCAGAUUUGCACACACCCUGCUUUCCUGGUUCCCCGCCUCCCACUUGUACUGGACCUCCAUCUUUUUAUUUUUUUCUCCCCUUCCUGCCUAGCAAACUCCAACUUAUCAUCAUCUUGCAUAUAUCUUCUAGCUCACCAAUGCCCCCGGGGAGGUUUCUCUGACCGUCCCCUCUCAAGGGUUCAGUGUGAUCAUUGCUCAGUUUGCAAUUAUUUGUUACUACUUAACUAGUUGUCAGGUCCAAUAGGCUCUGAGUUUUGAUUUGGUCACCACAGCAUCCCAGGAUCUGUAACCGGGCUCAGCACAGGGUCAGUAGACAUAUAUGACUGAAUGAAUGAAUUCAUUGAAUAAACUUUUUGAAUGCCAACUGUGUACCAAGUUCACAUGUGUAUAUCAUGAAUAAAAUCACAAAAUCCCUUCGCCCUGGGAGGUGGGACUCUGGGAUGAUAAAACUGAAAGACAUAAUGACUCCAGGCAGGAGGCCCCAGUGUAUGUGGGGCUUGAAGGCACCUGCAUGUAGGGUGGAAGCUGUUAUGCCCAGUGUUUGUUGGGGGAUAAUAUUUGCUCAUCAUUGACUAGGAGACCAGAUCUAGGAUCAAGGUGCUACUACUACAAAUGGCAAUGUUGAGUAUGCUUCAUUAGACGACCCUCAGGUCAAAACAAGGUAUGUGAUACUUUCUGUUGUAAGAAACAGAUUCCUAGUGCUCAGUGGUGAACUGUGGUAACAGUUGUCAACCAUUUACAUGAUAUCAUAUAAUAUCCUGUCACAAAGGUGAUGGGGCUUGGCUCCAUGGCUCUCAGAGACGGUUUCCUUCCAGCUUGUGUCUCAGAUAUUCUCGGGUCUUAGGGGUCCUUGCUGGAGCCUUGACAUCCAGCCAGCAGACAGAACGAGGGUUUUGGGGGCCGGGCCUGGAAGUGUCCACAUUAGUUUGCCCAGAACUCAGUGACAGCAGCACAGACUUGCCAGAGAAACAGGGGACUGACUGUAGAUGAGCUAUGUGGACCGGCAGAAAAGUAGCUGAUUGAUGCGGAGCAAGCAAGCUCAGGAAUCAUAAGGUCCAGUUCCCUUUUGGUACCCUCUCCUCCCCUUCCCUAUUCCUCUCACCCUUCUGUCCCUUUGGGGGGCCCACAGUGGCUUUUCAUCAGCCAGUGCCAAGGGCCAGCACAGAGAGAAUGAGGACAGAGUUGGGAGGACAUAAGUAGGGAAAUUCUUCCUUUUCUCCCCCCGCCCCCCUGCCCUGAAGGACCAUCCAUCCUCUGCCUCUUCCUCCAUUCUCAGUGACUGUCUCCUUGGAAAGUCACUGCUAUCGGGGAGCUGACAUCUCGGCUGCAGAAGACAAACAACAAACAAUUGUUAUGAUACGUCAUUAUACAGCAUGUGAGAAAGGAGUAAACAGGAUGGGGAGGGACGGGAGAGAGCAGGGAAAAGUGGCUCAGGCAUGGCAGUAAAUGCAAUUUUUAUAUUUUCACUAACAAACACGCUUACUCUAACCAUAGAUGCGGGCCCUGGGGUAGCACUUAGUGUGUCCCAGGCACCAUUCCAAAUGUUUACUCUAUGAGCUCAAUGAAUUCCCCAAAAAUAACACGUUAGCCAGAAAGCAUAUAGGGAUGAAGCCCUUGCAAGAAGAACCAGUAAUGGAGGGAGGAGGUGAAAUCGAAGCCCUGUUCUUCUACCUUUGGAGUGCUCUGAGUGCCUAUCCCUCCUUUUCUGGUACUCAGGUCAGUGUCUUCAUUUUAGUGUGAGCUUGUGAGGUUGUGUGUGAGUGUGAGGACACGGAGGGCUGUGGUUCCCUCUAGCACAGGCUUUAAAUCUGGGGCUUUUUCAACAGUGUUUAAGACAACAUGUGGCAAUCAGCAUUGUUGAGAUCACUGUACUUGAAGCCACAAUAAUUCUGCUAUGUACUAUGGGAACAUCAGGAGUCACAUCUGGAGUCUGCAGAGUUAGUUGGUCAGUGGUUUGUGGGGGGAGACUGCCCCUUACUAGCUAAGCAGAAGCCUGCCUUCCCCUUGCCCACCCCACCACUGCCACCAGCUUCUGCUUCUUAAACUCUACUGAAAUGUGACUCCCAUCGCACUUUUAUAAGUGCAUACAAAACAGGCAGCAAAAAAUCUUUGUCUUUGUAAAUGAAAUGAUCACCUUGGUGUUAACUUUGUCAAACAUGGGUUAUAAUUAGGAGUCCUUAGAUUUGCCAGGCAUGCAAACACUUGCCACAGAAACCCCUAUCUCCCGGCCCAAGUAACGUAUCAGUCCACAAGUAUAAAAUGGGAUUCUCUACUGAGCAAACCCUGCAUACAUUUUCUUGCAUGGGAUUUGGCCACCUGUAGAGGAUAAAUCAGGUUUGCCUUUGUUUGCUUGUCAAGAGGAGGAGGAAAAGUGCAUUUUAUAACAUCCAAGAAACAGACUAAGCAGUUAUUUGGGUACAUUUCCAUCAGAUAUGUUUCAUUUAACUUAUUUAACAGCUAUUGGGGAUGACCUCAUCUGUUAGCAGCCCAGAGGGAUGAGCAGCUGAGAGAAGGGUGGCUUCUGGGAACAGUUUCAAUGGCUCCGUGUGGGAAUAACAAGCUUGAACUGUAACCUGUGGUCCUAUAAGGACCUUCCUCAUCCCUCACAGGCAGUUCAAGCUGAGUGCUCACCCUCAAGCACCCCACCUUAGACAAUCUCCACCACCUGGCCUUUGUCACCAUGUCGUCUUUGUGAAAAGCCCUAACCUGACAAAUUUCUAUUCUCCAUGCAAGACUUAGCUCAGGGGCGCCGGCGUGGCUCAGUUCGUUAAGCAUCUGCCUUUUGCUCAGGUCAUGAUCCCAGGGUUCUGGGAUUGAGGCCCCAGGAGGGUUCCCUGCUCAGCAGGGACUCUGCUUGUCCCUCCUUUUGCCCCUCCCUCUGCUUUGUGUGGACUCUUUCUUUUUCCCUCUCUCUCUCUCAAA